AUCCAGUUGACGAGUCCAAAAUAGGACGAAAUGCGCAUCCUGGAU
rnacentral:hammerhead_ribozyme from 1 species